CAGCCGCCGCGGGAAUACGUAGGGUGCGAGCGUUAAUCGGAAUUACUGGGCGUAAAGCGUGCGCAGGCGGUUUGUUAAGACCGAUGUGAAAUCCCCGGGCUCAACCUGGGAACUGCAUUGGUGACUGGCAAGCUAGAGUAUGGCAGAGGGGGGUAGAAUUCCACGUGUAGCAGUGAAAUGCGUAGAGAUGUGGAGGAAUACCGAUGGCGAAGGCAGCCCCCUGGGCCAAUACUGACGCUCAUGCACGAAAGCGUGGGGAGCAAACAGGAUUAGAUACCCCCGUAGUCCCUGUCUCUUAUAC
rnacentral:rRNA from 1 species